rnacentral:rRNA from 1 species
UUGGUGGGGUGAUGGCCUACCAAGGCGACGACGGGUAGACCGGCCUGAGAGGGCGACCGGCCACACUGGGACUGAGACACGGCCCAGACUCCUACGGGAGGCAGCAGUGGGGAAUAUUGCACAAUGGGCGGAAGCCUGAUGCAGCGACGCCGCGUGAGGGAUGACGGCCUUCGGGUUGUAAACCUCUUUCAGCAGGGACGAAGCGUAAGUGACGGUACCUGCAGAAGAAGCGCCGGCCAACUACGUGCCAGCAGCCGCGGUAAGACGUAGGGCGCGAGCGUUGUCCGGAUUUAUUGGGCGUAAAGAGCUCGUAGGCGGCUUGUCGCGUCGACUGUGAAAACCCGCAGCUCAACUGCGGGCCUGCAGUCGAUACGGGCAGGCUAGAGUUCGGUAGGGGAGACUGGAAUUCCUGGUGUAGCGGUGAAAUGCGCAGAUAUCAGGAGGAACACCGGUGGCGAAGGCGGGUCUCUGGGCCGAUACUGACGCUGAGGAGCGAAAGCGUGGGGAGCGAACAGGAUUAGAUACCCUGGUAGUCCACGCUGUAAACGUUGGGCGCUAGGUGUGGGGGGCCUCUCCGGUUCCCUGUGCCGCAGCUAACGCAUUAAGCGCCCCGCCUGGGGAGUACGG